UCGAAGGAGGGUGCUAGACGCUCUUGGUCUAUUUUGGAGGGCUGUUGAGUCCACCCUGAUUCAGACUCUUCCUAGAGCGGAACUAAGUAUUUAUUUAGCCUUUUUGGAGGAGGGAAGGGUUAACGCAUAGCACAGUUUAUUUGUAACAGCUGCUACAGUCCUCCAUUUCUGUCUGGUCGGGGUGCCACUUUAUCUUGAGUCUUGCUGUGCUUUAUCAACAGCAUCUAUUAUCUAUUGUUGGCUGGAGCCCCUCUCCCCCUUUCUUCUUCAGCACAGCCUUGUUGCAGCUGGUCCUUCUCACCUUUUCCUAACUGCCAGCAUAAAUGCUUGUGUCUCAGCACCCUCUCACUGCCUACUGCCACAUUUCUAGCGAUAAGUUUGCUGUUUUCUCUCCCCCUGGCAUUUGACAUCCUUUCUCCUGUUCUCGUCUCUUACCUUGCUUUGAUUGGCAGUUUCAGACUUUUCACUUAAAGGUCUCAAGUAUGUUGAUCCUCGUGUUUUCAUAGGGACACCCUGCAUCCCCACCCCCACACUGGGGAUCAAACCUGGGACCUCACUUGUGCUAGGCAAUAUCUCUGUUACCACCUACCACAGACUAAUCCGAGUGACUAUCAGGCCACACCGGCAACGCUUUAUUUAAAAUCCCGACAUAAGCCUGGUACUUUUCCAUGAGUGACUUGGAAUCAUUGACUUUAAAUUAUCUAGGUCAGAAACAAGGGCCGUUUGUCUAUUUGGGGCAGUUUCUAGAAUUGAAAUCUAGUGGUGGGUUGACAUGGAGAAACUGUUCCCACUCCAUAUAACUUUGAGGCCUUAAAGUAGUUGUUAAAUUUUUUUUAAUUAAACUUCAGCUCUCUCUUGUAUUUACUGGUGCUGAGGCUCUGUGGGAUUCACAGAUGCAGGAGGGGUCCAAAUUGGACACCUCAGGAGGGCAAGUCAGGAGAAUCCCUCUUUGGUGCCUUGCACAGAUAUAUAUGUUAAGUUGCACAAGUGGCCAAGAGAUAGAAUGGGGCCAUGACUUGCAGCACUUUAAGACAAGAGAGAAGGGGGAAGGGCAGAUGCCAAAAGUUUUGACAUCAUUCACCUUCAGUUUGCAGGUUGAAUUACUGGGUCUCUAAUUGUUUUGGUUACUCAGUGGUUUAGUGUGUCCUCUUGCUGGUCUUAUGAUAAGGGGAUGGUUAGGUGGAAAGUUCUACAUCUUAUGUAAGGGAUACCUUCUUGCUUACCUCAUAUUUAGUUCAUUAUUUCCAAAGGUUUUUUGUUUUGUUUUUGCUACAUUGCUGGGCAUUGCUGGAAAUGGAUGUAUAUAAAGAAAAAUGUGUGUUAGAGAACUGUCUUGGUAGCAGAUGACAUGAGUUUGCAUGCUACCUGAUUGAUGAGCCAGGCAUUCCACAAGCUGGGGUCUCAGGGGCACAUGAAGGAAGAGCUCAGAGUAUGGACAAGUGGCCGCUUUGCCUUAAAAAGCAGUAAGUGAAACCUCUAAGGCAGAAGACACUUCCGUGCGGAGGGUUCUGGCUCUGGCUCCGCUUGAGUAUUUUGGGGAAGUAUCUGAAAAUACAGCUGCUUAGCUUUAAUGGAGAGGGGUGUAUCUGUGUAGAAGGUUGGGGGGGCAGAGGAAGGAGGGCUAGGGAGGGGGACUAGAGAGCCCCUUUCCCCAAGGCAGAGCCUUUUAAGAAUUUCCCAGAGUUGCAACCAGAUCAGAUUUGUACUUUAGGAAGAUAUGGAGGUAAAUGCUGAUUUAGAAUUAUGCGUAAGAAGAAUAUGUAUCAGAAUGAGAAAAAAGAAAAAAAAAAGAACAUAACUCACAGCACUGCUGUAUCUAACCAAAUCUAAGACUGCAUUUCUACCUCAGAGGUGUUAAACUACCUCAGAGGUGUUAAAAUGUAAAAAGAAGCACCUCUUAAAAUACAUGAAUUGCAAAAUAAGAAAGAAAGCAAGGAAGGAAGGAAGGAAGACUGGAAGACUGGAAGACUGGGAGUGGUGAUGCAUGCCUUUAAUCCCUGCGCUCAGAAGGGAGAGGCAGAUGGAUCUCUGUGAAUUAAUUCCAGGCCAGCCUGGAAUAUUAGCAGAAUUCCAGACAUGCCAGGGCUACAUAGUGAGACCCUAUUAUGAAGAAGAAGGAGGAGGAGGAGAAAGAGGAAUUGCAGGCUAGUAUAUAUAUGUAUAUAAAUAUGUAUAUAUAUGUAUGUAUAAUAAAUAGCUGUGUAUCUGGGGUUCAGAUGUGAGGGGUGCCCGAACGCAGGGCAGCUUUAGUGAAAAGACACUUAAGAACAAGGUAACAAGGCUGUAUAUGGUGAUGUCACCUCUUUAAUCCGGGGGUCAGGAGCAAGAGAAUUGUGAGUUGAGACCAUCCUGGGCUAAAGAGUGAGACCGCAACUCCAAAGGAAAAAAGACGAUGAGGAACUGGGAAGGGGAAGCUUCAACGGGAGGAAGAGCCCAGACACUGCUGAGAUGACCCAGGAAAGAGGUUUAGAAAAAGGUUUGAGUUCAGCAGAAGCUGAGAAAGGAAGAUGAACAGAUGGAUUCAAGAGCUGUUUAGAAGGUGAAUUCAAUAGGUUCUGGCACCAGACUCAACCAGGGGAUGAGGAACAAUCUUGGCAGGCUCCUGAGUAGCUGAGAGAAGGUUGGCAUCAUCGCUCUGCUUGGAGGGAAAACAGAGAAUAGGUAGUUUGUGGAAAUACAUAAAGAUGGUAAAUUCAACUUGGGGCAUAUUAAAUUUGAAGGGCCAUAAAAAUAGAAAAAUCUAGAAGGUAGUUGGCAAAAUAAAAUUGGGUCACUAGAGAAAUGACAUUCACGUCUACCAAUGGUCAUUUUAGCCAUGGGAGAGGAAAUUGCUUUAAAAAAACAAUAUACAGGUAGGAAGGCAGGUGUGAGAGGCCAAAAUAGCAAUACCCAGAAAGAGGAAAAGCCUCCUGUGGGUACUUGGAAGGUACCCCAAGAGGAACACCUGUGUCUCAGAAGAGCAGGAUCAGGAGGGACACAGCUCUCCAGAGACACUGCCAAGGCUGAUAAGAAAGGUAACAGGACCAGAGCUGGCAGGUCACUAGGGCUGGUCUGGAACACUGUCAGAACAGUGGCAGGGACUGUGGCCAGGUCAUGCAGAGACCUGAGGUGUGGGUGGGGGAGAGAGUGUGGGUAGAGGACUCACCCAGUUGCCCCUGGACAGAGGGAAAGAUGGAAGAUUUACACAUAGAGAACAUCAAAUCAUGGAACCUCGGUUUGUUUCUUUUAGGACAGGAUAUGAUCUUGUGUAUGUGCUGAGGGAAGCAAGCCAGGGAAGGCCAAGUGAAGAUCCAGAGCAGAGUCAAUAAUUGAUGCAGUAGGAAGUGGGGGUGGCCCUGGAGCCCGAAGUUCAGGGAGAGGGGAGAACAUCCUUAUUACGAACAGAGAGACGACAAGGGAUGUAGCUCAAUGGUAAAGUCCUUGCCUGGCAUGCGUAGAGCCUUUGGUUCUAUCCCCAGCACUAGAGAAAAAGAAAAGUGAAACAGAAGGAAAGUGGGUAUUGCAUUUGGGGGCUGGAAAUGUCGCUUAGUUAGUAGAGUGCUUACAUAGCAUGCACAGGAGGGUUGAUACACAGGACUAUUCGAUCCAGGCAUAGAUUUGGCACAGCACAUGCCUGUCACCCCAGCACUGUGAAAGUGGAGACAGGAGGAUCAGAAAUUCACUUCUCCUUGGCUAUAUUACUGAGAGAGAUGGAGAGAGAGAGAGAAAUGAGAAGGGGUUCCUUGCAUUUAUGUUUCUUCUCCUGUCCUAUCCCCAGCCUUUGUUUAUAUGUCAAAUAUUUAUUGAGGGCCUACCAGAUGUAUGUAUUGGGAAGCUAGAGUAUAGUGGUGAAUCAAAUGGGAAGAGUCUUUAUACUCAGGGAACUUAGACUUAGUAGGAAAGAGAGUUGUAGCAGAAGUUUUGGUUUCUUUAAAAACCAGUUAUGUUACAUUGUAAUCCCAACUGUGGGAUGCAGGAAUGCUUUUGGUUUGUCCACAGCUGAUAACAGCCUCAUGAGUGGUCACAUGAUUUUUGCCAGCUGGACACUGCCUCGUGCAGGGGCUAUGGGUUCUGCCAGCUGGAAAAUAUCCCUGUGCAGACUCUGAGAAGGUAUAAAUGGGAGCAGAGAGAGAGACAGAGAGAGAGGUGGCUUCAAGACACUCCUAGAGAGAAAUGCUUCAGAGAAUGCUUCAAGGAGGCUGUUGCUGAUUUGUGCUGCUGCUGUUUGCUGGAUGGUUGGAAUCCUGAUGAUAAAGAGUAGGAUCGCCCCAAGGAACUGAGUCUAUAAAAGGUCUACAUCCUCUGUCCCUACUAACAUUCUUUCUCUCCUACCUAGGGUCAGGGGUUUGAAGGGAGUUAGAGGUGGUUAUGAACCUCAAAUAAAGUAGGUUUAAAAAAUCAAAGCCUUUAGAGAGUGACAGAAAAGAUCACUAUUGGUAAGUGCUCAGAUAAAAGGCCAAUGGAUUGAUAAAGUGAUGAGCAAGGGUGAACAGGGAAAGCCUGUCAGAAACUAGAAAUAGACAAAGAUCAUAAUGAGAUGAAAGCAGGACAGGAGCAGGCUGGGAAGUGUUCCCUGCCAAGAAGAUCUCUGUGUGUGUAUCCCUAUCUGUGUCUAUCUCUCCAUCUCUGUUGCCCCAACUCAUAUAUUUACUCUCUUGGAAUACUAGAGGUUAGACAGUGGAAACGACAGUAUUGACAGAGCCCCUCUCUCUUGGAGCCUUCGAGUUACGGCUGAGUCUGUAAACUAGGAUGCUUUGAUUACUUCUGCUAGCUUGACCUGUAAGGUAACAGCCACAGGUCCUGGGACUCUUACAUAUGACAUACCUUUUGCAAGGUUGUCACCCAGGCCAUUAAAUGAAGAAACAGAGAAGUUCAAAAACAUCUUUUCAUUGCCAUUGCUUCUCUCUUUGCUCUGCCUAGCUUGAAUUUCAAGAUGUGACUCGGCUAUCACCUCAGCAAGGCCUACCUCCUCUAAUCCAUAGCUAGUGUUUUUGGGCUCAUUUCUUGCCACAGCCCUCUAAAAUAGUCCCUGUUGCUAUGGCUUACAUGAUGUGUUUUGUUUUCUCUAUUGGCCCUUAGACCUCUUCUAGGGCAGCAACGAAGACGGAAGCCAUGCCUCUGCCCCUAACACACAUGGUGGCACUUCAGGCUCUCCACAAAGGCUGCUGAAUUUGAAGAGCAGAAUGAUAGAAGAGUGAUGACAUGGUCUGUCGCAAACAGUUUCCCAAUGCACCACCCUUUCAGCCCAGGUAGAAUUUGUUGUGGCUCACAGUUUCAGAGGUCUCAGCCCGGGUCCAUCGCCCCCUUGCCUUUGGGCCUGUGGUGAGGCAAUACAGCAUGGUGGGGGGUGUGAAGAGCAUGCUAUGAGGUGAGCAGCAAGCAGGGAGAGCUGGAACGGGGCUCCCAUCCCACUAUUCUCCUCAAGGAGCUAUCCCCAACCUCUCAUUGAUCUUCACCUCCCCAUAGUGACCAUGCCAAGCUGGGGGGACCGGGCUUUUACCUCAGGCAAUCUCAGAGACAUUUUACACAUACCAUUAUACAUUCAAGAGAAGUAAAAACCUGUGUUCACACAAAAACCAGCACACCAAGGUUCAUAGUAGCAUUAUUCAUGCGUCCAAAAGGUAGGAACAGCCCAUUAGAUAGAUUGAUGAAUGAAUGGAUGAACGGACAGGUGAUAUGGAUUCCUUCUACACAGCACAACAUGGAGGGAACCUGAAGAAAACAUGCCAGGUGAAAAAAGGAACUCUCACAUAGCCACACGCUUGCUGGGAUUCCUGUUAUAUGGAAUGUGGAAAAUAAUAAAAUCCACAUAUGGGGUAGAUGUCUGGUGAGUGAGCGGGGAAGGAGUGGUCAGUGGUCGAAUAGCUUGUGGCUACGUGCCCCCUGUUACCCAGCCUGCCAUUUUAGGUAAAAUUAAAUAGGCGGGCUGGAGAGAUGGCUCAGAGGUUAAGAGUAAUGACUGCUCUUCCAGAGGUCCUGAGUUCAAUUCCCAGCAACCACAUGCUGGCUCACAACCAUCUAUAAUGAUAUCUGGUGCCCUCUUGCAGAUAGAACAUUGUAUGCAUAAUAAAUAAAUCUUAAAAAAAAAAACUAAAUAGGCUACAUGCGCACACACAAGUCCAUAACUUCAGUGUUUGAAAUGUGAAAUGCAUUAUUUAUGCUGUUUUGAACUACAAAUUGGCAAAUGAUUAUACUGAGUUAGUGGUUGUUGUUUUGUUUUGUUUUUGAUCUUUGUAGACCAGGCUGGCCUCGAAUUCAGAAAUCUGCCUGCUUCUGCCUCCUGAGUGCUAGGAUUAAAGACAUGUGCCAACACCACCUAGCCAAGUAUUGAUUUUUUUAAAUAGAAAAGCAGGUAUGUGUGUGCCCGUUAACAAUCACAUGUUCAGGGGUCUUCAUUGUUAUUGCUAUCAUGUUCUUCCUACACCACAGUAAGCUUGAUUGUUAUGCUAUAACGAAAGCCACCUACAUUUGGUCUUGGUCUCUGGUUCUUCCUAAAAGCCUUGUGAACUCAGGAGUGAAAGGUGUCUCUUUGGUUGUUCCUCCUAAGUCCCUUUCUGCCUUUCUGCCUUUCUGAACUCAUGCCAACGCAGUGACUCAGAAUAGACCCUGAGCUGGGCUCAAAGAGGAGCUAGUCUCACCAGGAAGAUGGAGAACAUGACUAGAGGGUUGGAGCCAUCAAUGCCCAUGAACUAGCUGCUUUUUCUGUCACUGUGAUAAAACACCUGACAACUUGAGGGAGAGAGGAUUUAUUUUGGUGAUGGUUUCAGAAGACAGAGUUCAUCGGUUGCGAAUGGAGUGUGUCUGUCAGUAGCUGGGCGAGACUUGGGUGCUAUCUCCUCCUUGCAUUUUGGUGGAUUAGAAAGCAAAGAAUUGGACCAGAAGCAGAGCCAAGCCCCAGACCCAUUCCCCCAGCGGCCUAAGUCCACAGCUAGAUCCCUCACCCCAAAGGUUCCAGAACCUUCCAAACCAGCAAGCACCAUCAGCCAGAGACCAAAUGUCCCAAAACAUGAGCCUGAGGCAACCUCUCACAGUGCCAUUUCCACCUCUGUGGAGGGAAGAGGAGACAGAGAAUGAGUCCACUCACGUGGUUAGCUCAAUUAAGCUUCCCAGUUGAUGACAUGUGAGGUGGGGAGGGGUCAUGUCACUCACCUAGGGACAGAGCUGCUACCUUUCCUUCAGACUUCACUUAAAUCGUCUUUAACGUGGUAUUGUUUCAGGGCUGGACAGAUGGCUUAGAGGUUAAGAGUACUGGCUGUUCUUCCCAAAGGUCCGGAGUUCAAUUCCCAGCAACCACAUGGUGGCUCAUAGCCAUCCGUAAUGAAAUCUGGUGCUCAGGCACACAUGGAGGCAGAAUGCUGUAUGAAUGAUAAAUAAAUAAAUAUUUUUUUAAAACGU